UGAGGAAUAUUGGUCAAUGGGCGAGAGCCUGAACCAGCCAAGUAGCGUGCAGGAUGACGGCCCUAUGGGUUGUAAACUGCUUUUAUAAGGGAAUAAAGUGAGAGUCGUGACUCUUUUUGCAUGUACCUUAUGAAUAAGGACCGGCUAAUUCCGUGCCAGCAGCCGCGGUAAUACGGAAGGUCCGGGCGUUAUCCGGAUUUAUUGGGUUUAAAGGGAGCGUAGGCCGGAGAUUAAGCGUGUUGUGAAAUGUAGACGCUCAACGUCUGCACUGCAGCGCGAACUGGUUUCCUUGAGUACGCACAAAG
rnacentral:rRNA from 1 species